rnacentral:rRNA from 1 species
GACGAACGCUGGCGGCGUGCUUAACACAUGCAAGUCGAACGGAAAGGCCCUGCUUUUGUGGGGUGCUCGAGUGGCGAACGGGUGAGUAACACGUGAGUAACCUGCCCUUGACUUUGGGAUAACUUCAGGAAACUGGGGCUAAUACCGGAUAGGAGCUCCUGCUGCAUGGUGGGGGUUGGAAAGUUUCGGCGGUUGGGGAUGGACUCGCGGCUUAUCAGCUUGUUGGUGGGGUAGUGGCUUACCAAGGCUUUGACGGGUAGCCGGCCUGAGAGGGUGACCGGCCACAUUGGGACUGAGAUACGGCCCAGACUCCUACGGGAGGCAGCAGUGGGGAAUAUUGCACAAUGGGCGGAAGCCUGAUGCAGCAACGCCGCGUGCGUGAUGACGGCCUUCGGGUUGUAAACCGCUUUCGCCUGUGACGAAGCGUGGGUGACGGUAAUGGGUAAAGAAGCACCGGCUAACUACGUG